UACGUAGGGUGCGAGCGUUAAUCGGAAUUACUGGGCGUAAAGCGUGCGCAGGCGGUUCUCCAAGUCCGUUGUGAAAGCCCCGGGCUCAACCUGGGAAUGGCAGUGGAAACUAGGGGACUGGAAUCUGGCAGAGGGGGGUGGAAUGCCGCGUGUAGCAGUGAAAUGCGUAGAUAUGUGGAAGAACACCGGUGGCGAAGGCGAUUUUCUAGAUUAUACCUGACACUGAGGCGCGAAAGCAAGGGGAUCAAACAGG
rnacentral:rRNA from 1 species